rfam:Anopheles gambiae str. PEST whole genome shotgun sequencing project, whole genome shotgun sequence.
AAAACGGUCCUUUUCAGGACCACCAAUACUGUUGAACAUUCCAAG